rnacentral:tRNA from 1 species
GGGCCGGUGGGGUAUCUUGGUAUCCUUCGGCCUUCGGGUGGCCGUAACCUCAGUUCGAAUCUGAGCCGGCCCACCA